rnacentral:rRNA from 1 species
GGUUAAGCGACUAAGCGUACACGGUGGAUGCCCUGGCAGUCAGAGGCGAUGAAGGACGUGCUAAUCUGCGAUAAGCGUCGGUAAGGUGAUAUGAACCGUUAUAACCGGCGAUUUCCGAAUGGGGAAACCCAGUGUGAUUCGUCACACUAUCAUUAACUGAAUCCAUAGGUUAAUGAGGCGAACCGGGGGAACUGAAACAUCUAAGUACCCCGAGGAAAAGAAAUCAACCGAGAUUCCCCCAGUAGCGGCGAGCGAACGGGGAGCAGCCCAGAGCCUGAAUCAGUGUGUGUGUUAGUGGAAGCGUCUGGAAAGGCGCGCGAUACAGGGUGACAGCCCCGUACACAAAAAUGCACAUACUGUGAGCUCGAUGAGUAGGGCGGGACACGUGGUAUCCUGUCUGAAUAUGGGGGGACCAUCCUCCAAGGCUAAAUACUCCUGACUGACCGAUAGUGAACCAGUACCGUGAGGGAAAGGCGAAAAGAACCCCGGCGAGGGGAGUGAAAAAGAACCUGAAACCGUGUACGUACAAGCAGUGGGAGCACAGAGCAAUCUGUGUGACUGCGUACCUUUUGUAUAAUGGGUCAGCGACUUAUAUUCUGUAGCAAGGUUAACCGAAUAGGGGAGCCGAAGGGAAACCGAGUCUUAACUGGGCGUUAAGUUGCAGGGUAUAGACCCGAAACCCGGUGAUCUAGCCAUGGGCAGGUUGAAGGUUGGGUAACACUAACUGGAGGACCGAACCGACUAAUGUUGAAAAAUUAGCGGAUGACUUGUGGCUGGGGGUGAAAGGCCAAUCAAACCGGGAGAUAGCUGGUUCUCCCCGAAAGCUAUUUAGUAGCGCCUCGUGAAUUCAUCUCCGGGGUAGAGCACUGUUUCGGCAGGGGUCAUCCCGACUUACCAACCCGAUGCAAACUGCGAAUACCGGAGAAUGUUAUCACGGGAGACACACGGCGGGUGCUAACGUCCGUCGUGAAGAGGGAAACAACCCAGACCGCCAGCUAAGGUCCCAAAGUCAUGGUUAAGUGGGAAACGAUGUGGGAAGGCCCAGACAGCCAGGAUGUUGGCUUAGAAGCAGCCAUCAUUUAAAGAAAGCGUAAUAGCUCACUGGUCGAGUCGGCCUGCGCGGAAGAUGUAACGGGGCUAAACCAUGCACCGAAGCUGCGGCAGCGACGCUGAUGCGUUGUUGGGUAGGGGAGCGUUCUGUAAGCCUGCGAAGGUGUACUGUGAGGUAUGCUGGAGGUAUCAGAAGUGCGAAUGCUGACAUAAGUAACGAUAAAGCGGGUGAAAAGCCCGCUCGCCGGAAGACCAAGGGUUCCUGUCCAACGUUAAUCGGGGCAGGGUGAGUCGACCCCUAAGGCGAGGCCGAAAGGCGUAGUCGAUGGGAAACAGGUUAAUAUUCCUGUACUUGGUGUUACUGCGAAGGGGGGACGGAGAAGGCUAUGUUGGCCGGGCGACGGUUGUCCCGGUUUAAGCGUGUAGGCUGGUUUUCCAGGCAAAUCCGGAAAAUCAAGGCUGAGGCGUGAUGACGAGGCACUACGGUGCUGAAGCAACAAAUGCCCUGCUUCCAGGAAAAGCCUCUAAGCAUCAGGUAACAUCAAAUCGUACCCCAAACCGACACAGGUGGUCAGGUAGAGAAUACCAAGGCGCUUGAGAGAACUCGGGUGAAGGAACUAGGCAAAAUGGUGCCGUAACUUCGGGAGAAGGCACGCUGAUAUGUAGGUGAAGUCCCUCGCGGAUGGAGCUGAAAUCAGUCGAAGAUACCAGCUGGCUGCAACUGUUUAUUAAAAACACAGCACUGUGCAAACACGAAAGUGGACGUAUACGGUGUGACGCCUGCCCGGUGCCGGAAGGUUAAUUGAUGGGGUCAGCGCAAGCGAAGCUCUUGAUCGAAGCCCCGGUAAACGGCGGCCGUAACUAUAACGGUCCUAAGGUAGCGAAAUUCCUUGUCGGGUAAGUUCCGACCUGCACGAAUGGCGUAAUGAUGGCCAGGCUGUCUCCACCCGAGACUCAGUGAAAUUGAACUCGCUGUGAAGAUGCAGUGUACCCGCGGCAAGACGGAAAGACCCCGUGAACCUUUACUAUAGCUUGACACUGAACAUUGAGCCUUGAUGUGUAGGAUAGGUGGGAGGCUUUGAAGUGUGGACGCCAGUCUGCAUGGAGCCGACCUUGAAAUACCACCCUUUAAUGUUUGAUGUUCUAACGUUGACCCGUAAUCCGGGUUGCGGACAGUGUCUGGUGGGUAGUUUGACUGGGGCGGUCUCCUCCUAAAGAGUAACGGAGGAGCACGAAGGUUGGCUAAUCCUGGUCGGACAUCAGGAGGUUAGUGCAAUGGCAUAAGCCAGCUUGACUGCGAGCGUGACGGCGCGAGCAGGUGCGAAAGCAGGUCAUAGUGAUCCGGUGGUUCUGAAUGGAAGGGCCAUCGCUCAACGGAUAAAAGGUACUCCGGGGAUAACAGGCUGAUACCGCCCAAGAGUUCAUAUCGACGGCGGUGUUUGGCACCUCGAUGUCGGCUCAUCACAUCCUGGGGCUGAAGUAGGUCCCAAGGGUAUGGCUGUUCGCCAUUUAAAGUGGUACGCGAGCUGGGUUUAGAACGUCGUGAGACAGUUCGGUCCCUAUCUGCCGUGGGCGCUGGAGAACUGAGGGGGGCUGCUCCUAGUACGAGAGGACCGGAGUGGACGCAUCACUGGUGUUCGGGUUGUCAUGCCAAUGGCACUGCCCGGUAGCUAAAUGCGGAAGAGAUAAGUGCUGAAAGCAUCUAAGCACGAAACUUGCCCCGAGAUGAGUUCUCCCUGACCCUUUAAGGGUCCUGAAGGAACGUUGAAGACGACGACGUUGAUAGGCCGGGUGUGUAAGCGCAGCGAUGCGUUGAGCUAACCGGUACUAAUGAACCGUGAGGCUUAACCUU